rnacentral:SRP_RNA from 1 species
GCCGGGCAUGGUGGCUCAUGCCUGUAAUCCCAACAUUUUGGGAGGCCGAGGCAGGUGGAUCACUUGAGGUCAGGAGUUCAAGACCAGCCUGGCCAACAAGGUGAAACCCUGUUUCUA